UACAGAGGGGCGUACAGCGUUUGUUCGGAAUUACUGGGGCGUAAAGCGCACGUAGGCGGCUUUGUAAGUUAGAGGUGAAAGCCCGGGGCUCAACUCCGGAAUUGCCUUUAAGACUGCAUCGCUAGAAUUGUGGAGAGGUAAGUGGAAUUCCGAGUGUAGAGGUGAAAUUCGUAGAUAUUCGGAAGAACACCAGUGGCGAAGGCGACUUACUGGACACAUAUUGACGCUGAGGUGCGAAAGCGUGGGGAGCAAACAGGG
rnacentral:rRNA from 1 species